UGGGGAAUUUUGGACAAUGGGCGAAAGCCUGAUCCAGCAAUGCCGCGUGUGUGAAGAAGGCCUUCGGGUUGUAAAGCACUUUUGUCCGGAAAGAAAUCCUUGGCUCUAAUACAGUCGGGGGAUGACGGUACCGGAAGAAUAAGCACCGGCUAACUACGUGCCAGCAGCCGCGGUAAUACGUAGGGUGCAAGCGUUAAUCGGAAUUACUGGGCGUAAAGCGUGCGCAGGCGGUUUGCUAAGACCGAUGUGAAAUCCCCGGGCUCAACCUGGGAACUGCAUUGGUGACUGGCAGGCUAGAGUAUGGCAGAGGGGGGUAGAAUUCCACGUNUAGCAGUGAAAUGCGUAGAGAUGUGGAGGAAUACCGAUGGCGAAGGCAGCCACCUGGGCCAAUACUGACGCUCAUGCACGAAAGCGUGGGGAGCAAACNGGAUUANUACCCUGGUAGUCCACGCCUAAACCGAUGUCACUCAGUUGUUGGGGAUUCAUUUCCUAGUAACGUAGCUAAUCGCGUGAAGUUGACCGCCUGGGGAGUACGGUCGGCAAGAUUAAACUCAAUGAAUUGACGGGUCAUAGCUG
rnacentral:rRNA from 1 species